ACGGGAGGCAGCAGUGGGGAAUAUUGCACCAUGGGCGCAAGCCUGAUGCAGCGAUGCCGCGUGAGGGAAGAAGGUUUUCGGAUUGUAAACCUCUGUCAACAGGGACGAAAAUGACGGUACCUGUGAAGGAAGCUCCGGCUAACUACGUGUCAGCAGCCGCGGUAAUACGUAGGGAGCAAGCGUUAUCCGGAAUUACUGGGUGUAAAGGGAGUGUAGGCGGGACUGUAAGUCAGAUGUGAAAUAUGCCGGCUCAACUGGCAGACUGCAUUUGAAACUGCGGUUCUUGAGUGAAGUAGAGGUAAGCGGAAUUCCUAGUGUAGCGGUGAAGUGCGUAGAUAUUAGGAGGAACAUCAGUGGCGAAGGCGGCUUACUGGGCUUUAACUGACGCUGAGGCUCGAAAGCGUGGGGAGCAAACAGGAUUAGAUACCCUGGUA
rnacentral:rRNA from 1 species